rnacentral:rRNA from 1 species
AUUGAACGCUGGCGGCAGGCCUAACACAUGCAAGUCGAGCGGAUGAAGGGAGCUUGCUCCUGGAUUCAGCGGCGGACGGGUGAGUAAUGCCUAGGAAUCUGCCUGGUAGUGGGGGAUAACGUCCGGAAACGGGCGCUAAUACCGCAUACGUCCUGAGGGAGAAAGUGGGGGAUCUUCGGACCUCACGCUAUCAGAUGAGCCUAGGUCGGAUUAGCUAGUUGGUGGGGUAAAGGCCUACCAGGGCGACGAUCCGUAACUGGUCUGAGAGGAUGAUCAGUCACACUGGAACUGAGACACGGUCCAGACUCCUACGGGAGGCAGCAGUGGGGAAUAUUGGACAAUGGGCGAAAGCCUGAUCCAGCCAUGCCGCGUGUGUGAAGAAGGUCUUCGGAUUGUAAAGCACUUUAAGUUGGGAGGAAGGGCAGUAAGUUAAUAACUUGCUGUUUUGACGUUACCAACAGAAUAAGCACCGGCUAACUUCGUG